GUGGUAUAGUUCAGUGGUAGAAUGUAUGCUAGCAUGUACAAGGCCCUGGGUUCAAUCCCUAGUGCGCACG
rnacentral:tRNA from 1 species